AGAAAAUAUUUCACACCAUGAUUCUAAAUGUUAAAAACUUGACUUCUAUUAUUAGUAGCAGUUUGAAAUUGUUAGAAAUAUGACGAGAAUGCAAUGCAUUUUGGUUCUAUUCCUACUUUUCGCUGCUGUUCAAAGUGCUGAAGCAUUAACGAAAAUUAUUGAUCACUUGGAAAAAAAUUAUCCAAGAGUAAAAACUCGUGUUAAAAAUGUCAUAGAUACUGGAGUUUCAAGAGGCAAAAAGUACGGCGAAAUAGGAAAUAACAUACAAUCAAUUAUAGACAUAUUGGAACGAAACAUGAACGACUUCAUGUCGAGAAGAAAGAAGAAAGUAAAAAAUAACACAAAGAGCAGAAAAAACUACAACGGAAAAAUUACAACCAGAGACGAAUUGGGCUAUGAUAGAGAAAACGGUCGGCCCGUAGGAAGAUUCGUGUUUUAAUCAAUCCUGAAAUUUAUACAAAUAUUAGCAGGUAUGUUUUAAUCAACAGCGAUCACCGUGGUUAAAAAUACUUCUGUGAUGAUUUGUUCCGGGUUUUUCAGAUUACAAAUAAAUUAAACUGCUAAUAAAUAUCCUUUGCCGUA